GGAUGGGUGGCCGAGCGGUUUAAGGCUCCAGUCUUGAAAACUGGCGUAGGCGCAAGCCUACCGUGGGUUCGAAUCCCACCCCAUCCG
rnacentral:tRNA from 1 species